CUAACACAUGCAAGUCGAGCGGUAACAGGUGUAGCAAUACAUGCUGACGAGCGGCGAACGGGUGAGUAACGCUUGGGAAUCUUCCCAGUAGUGGGGAAUAACCAGUCGAAAGAUUGGCUAAUACCGCAUACGUCUGUAAAGGGAAAGCGGGGGCUCGUAAGACCUCGCGCUAUUGGAUGAGCCAAAGUCGGAUUAGCUAGUUGGUGGGGUAAUGGCCUACCAAGGCGACAAUCCGUAGCUGGUCUGAGAGGACGACCAGCCACACCGGAACUGAGACACGGUCCGGACUCCUACGGGAGGCAGCAGUGGGGAAUAUUGGACAAUGGGGGAAACCCUGAUCCAGCGACGCCGCGUGUGAAGAAGGCCUGCGGGUUGUAAAGCACUUUUAGUGGGGACAAAAAGCUACGGAUUAAUACUCUGUGGUCUUGAUUUAACCCAAAGAAAAAGCACCGGCUAACUCUGUGCCAGCAGCCGCGGUAAU
rnacentral:rRNA from 1 species